GACGAACGCUGGCGGCGUGCUUAACACAUGCAAGUCGAACGGGCCUUGUCCCCUUUUUUUUGGGGGUGGGGUUAGUGGCGAACGGGUGAGUAACACGUGAGUAACCUGCCCCUCACUUCUGGAUAACCGCUUGAAAGGGUGGCUAAUACGGGGUGUUCUGGCCUGCUCGCAUGGGUGGGUUUGGAAAGAUUCGACCGGUUUUGGUUGUUUUGGUGGGGGAUGGGCUCGCGGCCUAUCAGCUUGUUGGUGGGGUGAUGGCCUGCCAAGGCUUUGACGGGUAGCCGGCCUGAGAGGGUGGGCGGUCACACUGGGACUGAGACACGGCCCAGACUUCUACGGGAGGCAGCAGUGGGGAAUAUUGCACAAUGGGCGAAAGCCUGAUGCAGCGACGCCGCGUGAGGGAUGGAGGCCUUCGGGUUGUGAACCUCUUUCGCCAGUGAAGAAGGUCCUGCUCUUUGUGGUGGGGUUGACGGUAGCUGGGUUAAUGAAGCGCCGGCUAACUACGUG
rnacentral:rRNA from 1 species